CCGGGCGUGGUCCUCCUCCAGGUGGCCAGCCUUUAGGACGUGUUGAUAUAAUUGUUUUCCCUCAACCAGCUCCAUGAUGAGCUUGCAGCAUUUCCCUAAUGUGGAGCAGAAGCAUUUCUCCAGCGCAGAGGAAAUAGACCAAAUGCUUUUCUGACAAAGGAAACAAAAAUGAAGGCAAAGAGCCUCGGAGUAGCCGGAACUAGGCUACAAAAGCAAAAAAAAAAAAAAAUCACAAUAAAUCUCUU